UGAGCGUACGGACUUCCUCUGAAAGGAAGUGCUGUGUACCGAGGUCAAGUGAAUUGACGUUUAAGCGCGAUGUAAGCGCGCCGCCCCUCGGGGAGAAACCGCCGGUUGGCGGUUUCUUUUUUACCCAAU
rnacentral:ncRNA from 1 species